rnacentral:rRNA from 1 species
UAGAAGCACUAAAUGGGCUAGGGGGAAGAAGAUUCUUACCAAACCUAAUAAAACUCCGAAUGCUAAACAUUGUUCCUCAGCAGACAGACUGUGGGUGCUAAGGUCCAUGGUCGAGAGGGAAAGAGCCCAGACCACCAGAUAAGGUCCCAAAAUAAUGAUUAAGUGUGAAAGGAUGUGGAAAUUCCUUAACAGCCGGGAGGUUGGCUUAGAAGCAGCCAUCCUUUAAAGAUAGCGUAACAGCUCACCGGUCUAAUAGAGUUUCUGCGCCGAAGAUGUAACGGGGCUAAAAUCAUUUACCGAAUCUGUGGAUUUAUAAUUUUUUUAAAAUUAUAACUGGUAGCGGAACGUUCUGUAAGCCUGUGAAGGGAUACCUGUGAAGGAUCCUGGAGGUAUCAGAAGUGCGAAUGCUGACAUAAGUAACGAUAAAAGAAGUGAAAAACUUCUUCGCCGAAAAUCCAAGGGUUUCUGCGCAAGGUUAAUCCGCGCAGAGUUAGUCGGCACCUAAGGCGAGGGCGAAAGCCGUAGUCGAUGGAAAUAAGGUUAAUAUUCCUUAACCAGAUGGUAGUGACGAAUCUUGUAAGUUGUGAGUUCUUAAUGGAUUGAGCUUGCCGCGAAAAGGUUCCAAGAAAUAGCUCCAUCAUAAGACCGUACCCUAAACCGACACAGGUGGAUUAAUAGAGUAUAUUUAGGCGCUUGAGAGAAUGAUGUUGAAGGAACUCGGCAAAAUGCUUCCGUAACUUCGGAAUAAGGAAGACCUUUUUGUAGGCAACUAUAGAAAGGUGGCACAAGCCAGGGAGAAGCGACUGUUUAUCAAAAACACAGGGCUCUGCUAACACGUAAGUGGAUGUAUAGGGUCUGACGCCUGCCCGGUGCUGGAAGGUUAAUGCGAUGGGUGCAAGCUCAUUUCUGAAGCCCCAGUAAACGGCGGCCGUAACUAUAACGGUCCUAAGGUAGCGAAAUUCCUUGUCGGGUAAGUUCCGACCUGCAUGAAUGGCGUAACGAUUUCUCCGCUGUCUCCAACAUCAACUCAGUGAAAUUGAAUUCUCCGUGAAGAUGCGGAGUUCGCGUAGUUAGACGGAAAGACCCCGUGCACCUUUACUGCAACUUUACAUUGGUGUUAGGAAAAACAUAUUUAGUAUAGGAGGGAGACAUUGAAGCAGAGGCGUCAGCUUUUGUGGAGUCACCAGUGAAAUACCUCUUUUGUUUUUCUUGAUAUCUAACUGAUAGCCGUUAUCCGGCAUCAAGACAUUGUAUGGUGGGUAGUUUGACUGGGGCGGUCGCCUCCCAAAUAGUAACGGAGGCGUGCGAAGGUAGGCUCAGAACGGUCAGAAAUCGUUCGUAGAGUGCAAUGGCAUAAGCCUGCCUGACUGUGAGACUGACAAGUCGAGCAGAGACGAAAGUCGGUCAUAGUGAUCCGGUGGUUCUGAGUGGAAGGGCCAUCGCUCAACGGAUAAAAGGUACGCCGGGGAUAACAGGCUGAUACUGCCCAAGAGCUCAUAUCGACGGCAGUGUUUGGCACCUCGAUGU